rnacentral:rRNA from 1 species
UACGAAGGGGGCUAGCGUUGCUCGGAAUCACUGGGCGUAAAGGGUGCGUAGGCGGGUCUUUUAAGUCAGGGGUGAAAUCCUGGAGCUCAACUCCAGAACUGCCUUUGAUACUGAAGAUCUUGAGUAUGGGAGAGGUGAGUGGAACUGCGAGUGUAGAGGUGAAAUUCGUAGAUAUUCGCAAGAACACCAGUGGCGAAGGCGGCUCACUGGCCCAUUACUGACGCUGAGGCACGAAAGCGUGGGGAGCAAACAGG